UACAGAGGGUGCGAGCGUUGUCCGGAAUUACUGGGCGUAAAGGGCGCGUAGGCGGCCUGGCAAGUCUGUGGUGAAAGCUCAGGGCUUAACUCUGAGUCGGCCAUCGAUACUGCGAGGCUCGAGUCUGGUAGAGGCAGAUGGAAUUCCGGGUGUAGCGGUGGAAUGCGUAGAGAUGACCCGGAACACCAAUUGCGAAGGCAGCUCACUGGGCAAUUAUUGACGCUGAGGCACGAAAGCGUGGGGAUCAAACAGG
rnacentral:rRNA from 1 species